rnacentral:rRNA from 1 species
GAUGAACGCUGGCGGCGUGCCUAAUACAUGCAAGUCGAGCGAACAGACGAGGAGCUUGCUCCUCUGACGUUAGCGGCGGACGGGUGAGUAACACGUGGAUAACCUACCUAUAAGACUGGGAUAACUUCGGGAAACCGGAGCUAAUACCGGAUAAUAUAUUGAACCGCAUGGUUCAAUAGUGAAAGACGGUUUGCUGUCACUUAUAGAUGGAUCCGCGCCGCAUUAGCUAGUUGGUAAGGUAACGGCUUACCAAGGCAACGAUGCGUAGCCGACCUGAGAGGGUGAUCGGCCACACUGGAACUGAGACACGGUCCAGACUCCUACGGGAGGCAGCAGUAGGGAAUCGUCCGCAAUGGGCGAAAGCCUGACGGAGCAACGCCGCGUGAGUGAUGAAGGUCUUCGGAUCGUAAAACUCUGUUAUUAGGGAAGAACAAAUGUGUAAGUAACUAUGCACGUCUUGACGGUACCUAACCAGAAAGCCACGGCUAACUACGUG